AGCUAGAAGUGAAAUAGUCACAAGGAUGGAUGCAGCUCGGAAGGCCUGAUUUAGGGUGGGGCUGAGGUUUUCUUAGUCUUAACUUUCAUAAUGACCCAAAGACAGCCCAGGAAAACAGUUGUUACGGAAUCUUGCUGUUAAGAGUUGAGAUCCUAGGAAGCUGUGUUUCUCUAUCAACACGGGAAGCAGAAGAGAACCAGAGAAUACCUCUGUUCCAGUGUACUCCUUGUGUGAGAAUGAGUUUCUUUGUGAACCGGUUUUCUUGUGGAACUGUUAGCUUAAAUAUCAUCCCAGUGGGUGGCACUUCACUCUGUCCCAAAUGCUGUGAAGGCAACUUCUCAUACUGCCAAGGCAUCUUCUCAUACUUUACGAUCUAAUUGUUCAUACCUUCACUGUUUUGAAAAUAUAACUAACAUGUUGUUGAUUUUCCAUUUUAUUUGUUGUUGUUGUUAGUCAUGGGGCUUGAACUCAGGGCCUGGGCUCUGUCCCUGUACUCUUUUGCUCAGGACUAGUGUUCUUCCAAAGAGAGC